rnacentral:rRNA from 1 species
CAGUGGCGAACGGGUGAGUAACACGUGGGCAAUCUGCCCUGCACUCUGGGACAACACCGGGAAACCGGUGCUAAUACCGGAUACGACGUACCUCGGCAUCGGGUGUGCGUGGAAAGCUCCGGCGGUGCAGGAUGAGCCCGCGGCCUAUCAGCUUGUUGGUGGGGUGAUGGCCUACCAAGGCGACGACGGGUAGCCGGCCUGAGAGGGCGACCGGCCACACUGGGACUGAGACACGGCCCAGACUCCUACGGGAGGCAGCAGUGGGGAAUAUUGCACAAUGGGCGAAAGCCUGAUGCAGCGACGCCGCGUGAGGGAUGAAGGCCUUCGGGUUGUAAACCUCUUUCAGCAGGGAAGAAGCGCAAGUGACGGUACCUGCAGAAGAAGCACCGGCUAACUACGUGCCAGCAGCCGCGGUAAUACGUAGGGUGCNGAGCGUUGUCCGGAAUUAUUGGGCGUAAAGAGCUCGUAGGCGGCCUGUCGCGUCGGAUGUGAAAGCCCGGGGCUUAACCCCGGGUCUGCAUUCGAUACGGGCAGGCUAGAGUUCGGUAGGGGAGAUCGGAAUUNCUG